UACAGGGGGGGCAAGCGUUGUUCGGAAUUACUGGGCGUAAAGGGCCAGUAGGCGGCCAACUAAGUCACACGUGAAAUCCCCAGGCUUAACCUGGGAACUGCGUGUGAUACUGGAUGGCUUGAAUUCGGGAGAGGGAUGCAGAAUUCCAGGUGUAGCGGUGAAAUGCGUAGAGAUCGGAAAGAACACUGGUGGCGAAGGCGGCUUCCUGGCCCAAAACUGACGCUGAGGUGCGAAAGCGUGGGGAGCAAACAGG
rnacentral:rRNA from 1 species